rnacentral:rRNA from 1 species
GAUGAACGCUGGCGGCGUGCCUAAUACAUGCAAGUCGAGCGAACAGACGAGGAGCUUGCUCCUCUGACGUUAGCGGCGGACGGGUGAGUAACACGUGGAUAACCUACCUAUAAGACUGGGAUAACUUCGGGAAACCGGAGCUAAUACCGGAUAAUAUAUUGAACCGCAUGGUUCAAUAGUGAAAGACGGUUUUGCUGUCACUUAUAGAUGGAUCCGCGCCGCAUUAGCUAGUUGGUAAGGUAACGGCUUACCAAGGCAACGAUGCGUAGCCGACCUGAGAGGAUGAUCGGCCACACUGGAACUGAGACACGGUCCAGACUCCUACGGGAGGCAGCAGUAGGGAAUCUUCCGCAAUGGGCGAAAGCCUGACGGAACAACGCCGCGUGAGUGAUGAAGGUCUUCGGAUCGUAAAACUCUGUUAUUAGGGAAGAACAAAUGUGUAAGUAACUAUGCACGUCUUGACGGUACCUAAUCAGAAAGCCACGGCUAACUACGUG